rnacentral:rRNA from 1 species
CUGGGAGGACCAUCUCCUAAGGCUAAAUACUCUCUAGUGACCGAUAGUGAACCAGUACCGUGAGGGAAAGGUGAAAAGCACCCCGGAAGGGGAGUGAAAUAGAACCUGAAACCGUGUGCUUACAAGUAGUCAGAGCCCGUUAAUGGGUGAUGGCGUGCCUUUUGUAGAAUGAACCGGCGAGUUACGAUUUGAUGCAAGGUUAAGCAGUAAAUGUGGAGCCGUAGCGAAAGCGAGUCUGAAUAGGGCGUUUAGUAUUUGGUCGUAGACCCGAAACCAGGUGAUCUACCCUUGGUCAGGUUGAAGUUCAGGUAACACUGAAUGGAGGACCGAACCGACUUACGUUGAAAAGUGAGCGGAUGAACUGAGGGUAGCGGAGAAAUUCCAAUCGAACCUGGAGAUAGCUGGUUCUCUCCGAAAUAGCUUUAGGGCUAGCCUCAAGUGAUGAUUAUUGGAGGUAGAGCACUGUUUGGA